AAUAGCAGUGCCUGUGUUAUUCAUGAUGGGCUUCUGGGACCACACCCUUUGAGAUUAUGUUAAUGAGCUGAGUCAUUCUGGAUCCCUAGAUGAUUUCAGGAUGGAGGCUAACCAUGCCAGAAAGAUUGACUAAGAGAUUAGAGUGUUAGAGUUUUAGGUCCAUAUGAUAUCAGUCCAAACUGGCAAUCUUCAGGGAGUGGAGGGAGGCAUAGAAUUGAUUCCUGUAGCCAAUGAUUCAACCAGUCAUGCCUAAGUAAUGAACCUCCACUAAAACCUUUGGACACUUGAAGCUCAGAUGAAUUUUCCAGAUUAGUGAAACACAUAGAUGUACUGGACUGGUGAUGCAUCCUGAGGACAUGGAAGCUUCACAUUUGGGACCCUUCCAUACCUGACCUUUUUUUGAAUUAGACACACACGAGCACAGCUGGAGGCCUGUGGAAAGCAAAGAAACUGAAAAACACACAAGAGAAAGAGAAUAUGCAGAUGCUCCGAGGCAGUGAAAGCCAUGAUCAAACAGAAGCUGCGAGACUGAAGGGACAGACACACAAGCAGAGAGAAGCAGAGACAGAGAAAAGCUAAGUGUUCCGAAUGCCAGAGCUCUGCAAAGGCUGUCAGGCCACUAAGGCUGCUGUCAUGGCCAGAUUCAGAUCCAGCCUUUCUCUGAGACCCAAGGACUUAGAUGCUGAGAUAAGAAAUGCUCCUGAGUAAUUGAUAAACCAAGUCAUAUCUGAGCAGUUCUAGACGCCGAAAAGUCCACAAUUGUACUGGCAGAUUUGGUGUCUGGUGAAGGCCUUCUUCUGGGUUGCCAAUUGCCAACCUCUCCCUGCACCUUCUCUGUGGAAUAGAUCCAGUAAAGCAACAAGACCUUGCCUAAAAUUUUAGGAGACUUUGUGAAGACUGUACCUGACUUUGAAAAUGACAAAUACUGUGCCCAAAACGUUUUAUCACUUUAUAUAGAAGGUCAAGAGAGAAAGCAAAACUCAAGUUGCCCUCAGCCCCCACGUUCCAUGGAGUGAUGCCCAAGUGGAUGCUGUGCACACUGUGACUGCACAUCUGAGGAAUCUCAAGUUAAGGAAAUCCCAGUUUUUCAAAACAUCUGUUAGUAAACCUGCCCAAUCUUUAUCCUGGAGGGAGAUGUUAUCUUUAUUAUCCUGAACAGCAAACACAUUUCUCCUCUGCCCUGGAGGAAGAAGUGAAUGAUAAACAGCAACAUUAAUCUAAAGUGGCUUUUGCUACCAAAUAUAUUUCAUCAAACAUAUCUAGGUUGUAUAAACUCACGCUGAAACCUUCAUAUGUAUGGAGGUUAUAUUUAAACAUAUAAGCAGCUAUUUUAUAAACUAGUAGGACUCUUAGAACUCUGUAUAGAAUCUACAACUUUUGAAACAGCUGCGCAGAACUGUGUAAUUUAGGAUAGCGGAGGAAGUUGGAAACCACAUCCAAUUUAAGCUUUUAGGAGAGUCUAGGUCAUUAGGAGGUCAUUCUCCAAAAUGGAAAGGAGUCCUGGAACUCUUGCCCAACCAAGACUGACACUGGAAGACAAGUAAACUUGUGCUACACUCUGUGAUUUGUAGAGACCUCAGAGGGGCCCAGGUUUGGCUCACUUUUCAGCUGACCAUAAAGAAGACUUGGGAGUAAAUGGUCACAGGGAAGAGUCUACCCACUGGAUGAAUCACGGACCAUUUUCUGCAGCCUCUUGAUGUUUUUAAUGACUUAGUCAUCAAAAUCCUGACUCUUAUGGGAAUCUGUUCCCAAAAUUCACAUAGAUGGCACAUCAGUGGUAUAUGGACAAUUUCUUGAUCUAAUCCAGAAUAAUUAACCAGCAUUUUAAAAGUCAUUGUUAGA